UAUUGCUUAUGUUACUUUGUGUUUGCGGGUUAUGUGUAUGAGGAUUACCUUGUGCAAUGUUUUCUGCUUUUUGCCUUGAUGUGGAUUACUGUUUUUGGGACCACAAUAAAGCUUCUAUUGGAUUUUCAAUAUUGCCCAGAUUUUCAAUCUGCUGCCUGAGAGACAAGUCCAUGUUCAAGGUUUGGCAAUACCUUGUAGUGGAAGUGUGGAAAGGCUGGGUUGCAACGAUGCAGACUUUAAAAUCACUUUUAACCUCUGUCUGGAUGAUCUCUUAUUACAUUGGGAGAUGGAGCUGGUAAAGUCAUUGGAAAUCUGGAACUUCUCCGGGUACUUGCAGCUCUGCCAAGAGGGGAAGGUAAUGGAUCAUAACCAGAACCUACCUGUAAGGACUCAAGAGCCCACUUCAGUUCAAGUGUCCUCAGAGUUCACUCAAGAGCCCGCUCCAUAGCCUGCUUCAGUUUGUGAGUUCACUCCAGAGCCCACUCCAGUCUGUGGGAUCGUGAAGCGCCCAUUUUUUUCAAACCAGCUGUCCGACCUACCAAUACUACAUGACAUUCAAAGCUUCAGACAUCAUCAGUCACAUGGACCUUAUUUGUCAGGAGCAGGGCACAAUAUGGCACCUGCCCCCAUACCUCUGGAACAUCCACGCUUGGUCCCUUUAUGUGACAAAGAAUUUACAGGGCUAUCAACAGCUGUGAUAGACACAAUCACUCAGGUGAGAGCACCCUCUGCCAGGUGGUUAAAUGCCCUGAAGUGGGACUUGUGCAGUGCUCGGUGCUAAUUCUGUGGGGAAGACAUGGUUUUGAAUCAGUGAGUACGUUUACAUAGAUACUUUUUGCUUCCAUUGGAAUUAAUUCAUUCUGAUUGACGAAUCUGAACGUAGUGUUUACAUGAACACUAAAUAAAGUGAUCGGGUUGAUAUGCGUGUUUAUAUGUCACAAGCUUCUGAUCGGAUUUAUUCUUUUGACGUGCAAACUGCAUGAAUAUACAGAGUUUCCCACUGUUGCUGCAUACUGUUUUAUAAAGCACACUUGAUAUUUAUCUACUUCUGGGUCCUAAUUAGGCGACGAUCAGCACAUGAACUGUUGUGCUGUGCUGCGCUGCUUACUUUAAAAAGCAGUAAAAGUGCCCCUUGUCGCACACAAAACCAGUUGUCUCUAGAUGAUAGUCUUAAAUAAGGACUGGUGGAACAUUGUGCUGCAUAACUUCACAGACGCU
ensembl:lncRNA